AUUGAACGCUGGCGGCAGGCUUAACACAUGCAAGUCGAACGAGUGGCGGACGGGUUAGUAAUGCUUUGGAAUCUCGCUUAUGGAGGGGGAUAACUACGAGAAACUGUAGCUAAUACCGCGUACCAUCGGAUGAGCCCACGUGGGAUGAGUUAGUUGGUGGGGUAAAGGCUCACAAAGACGACGAUCUCUAGCUGGUCUGAGAGGAUGACCAGCCACACUGGGACGAGGACACGGCCCAGACUCCUACGGGAGGCAGCAGUGGGGAAUAUUGCGCAAUGGGGGCAACCUGACGCAGCCAUGCCGCGUGAAUGAAGAAGUCCUUCGGGUUGUAAAGUUCUUUCGGUAGCGAGGCGUUAACUACAGAAGAAGCACCGGCUAACUCCGUGCCAGCAGCCGCGGUAAUUC
rnacentral:rRNA from 1 species